rnacentral:misc_RNA from 1 species
GAUGAAGAACGUAGCGAAAUGCGAUAAGUAAUGUGAAUUGCAGAAUUCAGUGAAUCAUCGAAUCUUUGAACGCACAUUGCGCCCCCUGGUAUUCCGGGGGGCAUGCCUGUUCGAGCGUCAUUUCACCACUCAAGUCUCGCUUGGUAUUGGGCAACGCGGUCCGCCGCGUGCCUCAAAUCGACCGGCUGGGUCUUCUGUCCCCUAAGCGUUGUGGAAACUAUUCGCUAAAGGGUGUUCGGGAGGCUACGCCGUAAAACAACCCCAUUUCUAAGGUUGACCUCGGAUCAGGUAGGGAUACCCGCUGAACUUAAGCAUAUAAUAAGCGGAGGA